AACGAACGCUGGCGGCAUGCCUAACACAUGCAAGUCGAACGAGACCUUCGGGUCUAGUGGCGCACGGGUGCGUAACGCGUGGGAACCUGCCCUUAGGUUCGGAAUAACUCCCCGAAAGGGGUGCUAAUACCGGAUAAUGUCUUCGGACCAAAGAUUUAUCGCCUUUGGAUGGGCCCGCGUUGGAUUAGCUAGUUGGUAGGGUAAAAGCCUACCAAGGCGACGAUCCAUAGCUGGUCUGAGAGGAUGAUCAGCCACACUGGGAAUGAGACACGGCCCAGACUGCGACGGGAGGCAGGAGUGGGGAAUAGUGGAGAAGGGGCGAAAGACUGAUCAAGCAAUGCCGGGUGAGUGAUGAAGGACGUAGGGUUGUAAAGCUCUUUUAGCCGGGAUGAUAAUGACAGUACCGGGAGAAUAAGCACCGGCUAACUCCGUG
rnacentral:rRNA from 1 species